CAACCCUUAAGCCUAGCUGCUUAGUGUUGGGAAUCUGCCCUGCAUCUGCAGCGCAGUUCCUUAAAGUAAUCGGCGGAGUUAGGGCAUACUCUAAGCGUAGUAAUAUUUCUUCUCGCUUCUGUAGUUGUCCUGGCGGCUUGCCGUUAAACCCCUAUAUUUCUAGU
rnacentral:misc_RNA from 1 species